UACAGAGGGGGCGAGCGUUGUUCGGAAUUACUGGGCGUAAAGCGUGCGUAGACGGUAGCGUAAGUCGGGUGUGAAAGCCCCGGGCUCAACCUGGGAAUUGCAUUCGAGACUGCUCUGCUAGGGUGCGGAAGAGGGAAGCGGAAUUUCCGGUGUAGCGGUGAAAUGCGUAGAUAUCGGAAGGAACACCAGUGGCGAAAGCGGCUUCCUGGUCCAGCACCGACGUUCAGGCACGAAAGCGUGGGGAGCAAACAGG
rnacentral:rRNA from 1 species